UAUUUAUUCUACGCAAAAAAACAAAAACAAAAGAAAAAUGGCGGAUAGCAUUGUGCUGUGUUCUGCUGUUUAGUUAUAUUCCUUAGCCCAAUAAGGAACAUAUGAGUGUUACAUUAACACGUCAUUCUUGGGAGACGGGAUGCUGUUUAGGGUGAGGUGGAAGCUGGUGCGGUGGACGCUAAGGGUCAAAAGCGCAUGCGCGUUCUAUGACAUGCUAAAAUCACAGCGCUAUCCAGUGGCCUGACAUGACAACUACAGCUGACUGAAGGCGUCUUAGCGGUGCCGUCAAAAACGUGGAACUUUUCCUCAAUCAACAUCCGAAAAUUAAUGCCUGCAGUUUCCAAGCAGAACCAACUAAAACAAAGUUUCAAGUAACUUUUCAGCAAGAUAUAGGAGUUUCUUUUAAGCCAACAAUUCCUUUACAUUCGUGAAAAGUACUAGUUACUCUGAUAGAUUAUUUAACAUAUUUUUCUCAUGUUAGGAGUGAAAUAAUCUGCCAGUAAUAGCACUUUUUGAUCAAUAUCAAGGAAUUAUUGACUUAAAACAAGCUCCUAUAUAAUGCUGCAAUGUAACUUGUACGUUAGUUUUCUCUUGUCUCAAGUGUCCAGAGAUAUUUCCCUUGAAACAGACCAAAAAUACUUGGUAAGAUGUGUUUUUGCCGUGUUUACAGCUCCCUCUCAGGCAGAUUUGUGUGGAUGUCAGGGACAGAUGGUGAUCUGAGCCCCAGACCCAUCUGCUGGACCAGCUCAGCCUCUCUUACUCUGAGGAGAAAAGAGAAAGCAGAGCUUCCCACUGGAUGGAUAUUUAACCUCCUGUGAAUGACCUGCUCAAAUUUCACACAUGCAUAUGCAGAGGUCUCUGGUCACAAGCAAAGAGGUUUUUUUUGUUGUUUGUUUCCUUUUGGGAGACGUGAUCAAGUUUAGCUUUUUAUUUUUCCUGAGUUGCUUACAGAAAUAACUGCAAAAUCAGCAUUUUCUCAGUUAAAUGAGCCAAUAAAGUAACAGAAGAGCAAGAUUAGAUCUGGAUUCUGUGCAUAUCUCUGGAGCAGGGUUAGAUUGCAAGACUACAUCCCAAGUUUUAAACUUCUCACAUCUCAGUCCUUCUCGUUCUUUGUGACAGAUUCCUGCAUUUAUCUUUCUUUGCUCUAAUGCAAAAAACUGCACAUUUUUAGCAAAUGUAGCCAAAAACAUUAGGUUUAAGUUAUGCUAACUCCCACCUGCAGGGGGCAGUAUUUAUUUUAUGGUUCAGCAUUACUUGAUGCCAAGUUCUAGUCCGUGAUCGAUACGGCGAGGAACAAAAAGUCACACUUAACAUCUUACACAAGUGCAAAUAUUGCAAUAUAUUUCUAAAUUAGCUCUACAAAAAUUUUGAUUUUGAUUGGAAAAAUAUAUAUAUAUGAUCGCAAAAUCCCAAUGGCAUUGAUUAGUGUGAAAAGAUAUUUAUUAUUAUUUAAUUUUUACAAAGUAAUUAUCUAAUGCAGACACAGCUAUUUAUUAAUAUUGUAGCAGUUUGUUCUUGGGUUUUAUCAGCACAUUCUGGCGCAGCCGGCCCUUUAAGAUUGAAUAGAGCUAGAAACAGCGUUGUUCUUUUUCAGUCUCAGAAGCGAAUUUCAGUGAGGUUUAUUAAAGCAUUUUAAUAAAUGCUUGGUGGAGAACGUCUUCUCAAGCAGAUGCAGCAGGUGUCUGCAGGCUGCAGCUGCACAUUUCUUUAUUCAUUUCUUUUCUUUCUUCUCUCUUUCUGUGUUUUUUGUCAGUCUUUGUGUUUCUGUUUUUCUGUCUGCUUCUGUGUUUGUGUCUUUCUGCCUUAGUUUUUGGGUUUCUGUCUGUCAGUUUUUUUUCCCUCUUUCUUUCUUUAUGUCCUUCUUUCUUCCUCCCUUUAUGUUUCUGCCUUUAUGUCCGUGUUUCUGUCAGUUUUUCCUUCUUCCUGUGUUUCUGUCUGUCGUUCUGUCGCUAUGUUUUUGUAUUGUUCUGUCUUUCUGUGUUCUGUCUUUCUGCCUUUCCCUCUUUCUUCCAGUCUUUCUGGUUUUAUCUUUCUGUGUCUUUCUCUCCAUCUUUGUGUUCCAGUAGAGUGACUGAUUUCCCUCCAGAGUUGCGUAUCUCUCCAACUGUCUUCCCUCAGAUGACUGGUGAGACGCGUCUGAAGCUGCUUUGGUUCCGUUCCAGCAGCUUCCUCAGACGCUUGCCAGCGUUUCUGGGCCGAGCUGGUGGUCCUGAUAAUGGAAGGUGGUUCUGCAGGAAGGGGGGUGAGGGAGUGGCCCGCCGCCCGUGGACGUUUGAGCUCAGCGUGGGCUGAGUGGGUGUGGAGCGCGGUGGGCGCCGGGUGGGACACGCUGGAGGGGCGACAGCAGGAAAGGCCUGAAGUGUUCGGAAUGUUUCACAACCGGCCUCAUCUCCACUGCAGCGUCAGGAUGAGGGCGUCUGCUGCCGGUGUCACCGCUCAGACAGCCAGCAGCCAGAACACACACACACACACACACACACACACGCCAACAGACAUUCUCCAUAGUGUGACCCCUCACCGCCUUGGCAACGCUUACAGCGUUUAUAUCCUGUGAGUGGGCCAGCCAGCAGCGGAGUCACCGCCUUCACACAGGCGACGUUUUGUGGCUGCGAGCGAGAGAGCGGGCGAGAAAGACAUAGAGAGAGAGAGAGAGGGAGGGAAAGUCUCUGUUUGACACCUCUGAAAGGAAGAGGAAGAGGAAAGGGGGGGGGAGCGUACACAUGAUGGCACCUCUGGGUUCCUUUAAAGAACAUAUGAACUGUUCUACUCUGUUCUCAUGAUGCUGUGAAGAUUUUAUUUUUUAUUUUUGUUUUUGCUAAAUUGCUAAAAGCAGAUGUGCGUAAUAACAAUUUCAGUCAUUUUGUUGUGUUUAUAUUAUUAAAUGUGAAAACGUGUCAUCGUUCUCGGCAUUGAGAUUUAAAUAUGUUCCGUAGAGCUCAAAAUGAAAACCUCUUAAACCUUUUAGUGUUUACGGCUGGGCGUUUAUCGCGUCGUUUAUCAUUUAUCGCGAUACAUUACUUAUCGUGAUAAGACUUUGAUUUGUGGUCGUCACAAUAAAUUCUAACUAACGUUGUUUGCGUAUUGUCGGGUAUUUUUACUAUUUUUCUCCAAUGUUUGCUCAAUUCCAGCAUCAAUAAAUAUCAAUACACUUGAAAGUGUGAUUAAAUGCAGCGACUGUGUGCAGCUUGGUGAUACAAAUCGCACCGCUUCAUGUGACUGGUGUCGUAAAGAAUUAUUAUUACAAAUGGGAAGUGUUUGUGUCUGUGGGGCUGUAAAUGCUGCAUCAUCCAGUCACAGCCAUACAGUUACCUAAAAGAGAAGAAAUAGUUUUUCAUCAUAAUCACAAUAGUUUCACAAAUUAUUGUGACAAAACUUUAAGUGCAUAUCGCACUGAAUAUUAGUCAAAAAUCUGCUGUUUUAUUAUAGCUUCACUGUCCAUCAGAAAAGAAAUAAAAAUUUGAAGACCCAGUAAAACCUCGUCACUCUGCCCUAUUAUUAUCCAAAACUGGUAUUAAUAAUACAUUUUCAGAGAAUCCACAUACACCCUUUUGCAUGUUUUAUGUAUUUGUUUGUGAAGAAAAAAGCAACUUUUAAAACAAGAAAUUUCUUUUUUCAGAUUCAAAUCAAGUUAGAUUCUGAUAGAAGAAAAUCUUAUAAUCUUUUUGUCUUUUAUGUGACCAGCAAAGCACACAGAAACGAGGAAUAAUGAAGGAUGAAAUAAUUCAAGUCCAUUCAGUUUGUCUCCAUGGCGCCAAUCCACAACAAAUGUCACCUUGAGGCGUUUUCCAGAAAAAUCACUUCAGUUCAGUCCUACAAACAUUCCAAUUGAUCCCAGUAAUCAAACAGCGCAUCAAGCUCAAUUCAUUAUUCAAAGUAGUUUAAAUAGUUAAACCCGGCAGAUUGCAAUAAUCAUUGACUCAAAAUAGAAAUUGUUCAGUUGUGACUAAAGUGAAAAAAGGACUUUAUGAAUGACUAAGAUGUAGAUUUAAAAAAAAAAAAAAAUUGUAUUAAGUGAAACUGGACAUGUAAAUUUUGCAGACUGUAAAUAAGGUUUAAAAACCUGCCCAUCUGUGGAGGAAAACGUUAACGAAUAACUUUAACGGUUAGAAACAAAACAGUUCUGAUUGUUUUACGUAAAACAAUCUCAUUUCCAAACAAACUGUUUCUUCCAUCUCCCAGCAUUUUUUUCCCCUCAUUUCUGUAUUAGUCAAAGCAAAGGAUGAAAAUUUUGCCUUGACUUAAUGAGAAUAAUCUGCUAGCAUGAGAUGCUAUGACAAUCUGCACCACAAAACAAUAAAAAUAAAAAUACUAGUUAUAAACGACUGACAUCUACACAAUAUCAUUUUAUUAAGUGGCACUGGACAUAUGAAUUUUGCUAACUAAAUAGAAAAAAACUAAAUUCAAUUAUUCUGGUCAAGAAAUUGUCAACAAUGAAUAUUUUUUUAUUAAAAUUUGCGUUGGAGUCCUGUUAACGGUUAAAAACAAAACAGUUCUGAUUGAUUUUCACGUAAAAAAAAAAAAAAAAAAAAUCAAUUUCUAAACUAUAUUCACGUCCUGCGGCAAAAAUGUCUUCAUUUCAUUUUAGUCAAGGAAAAGGAUGAACCUUCCUCCUUGACUGGCGACAACAGGGAUAAUAACAAUAAGAUGUUACGACAAUCUGCACCAAAAAAAGGUUCAACCGUGACGUCACUUUGAGAUCUUUGCAAUUACUUGGCAUAAUUUAUUGUUGAAAUAAGGACCAAAUAAAGUCGUAACCCUAAACCAAAAAAAAAAAAAAAAAAAAAUCCCUUAAUGCUUCCACCGUCACUAUUAGUGCUCUUGCUUAAUAUGGCUUAACCCCAUAACUAACCUUUGCGUCACAAUAGAAGCAUUUGUGUGUGACUUAAUCAGACGUGUUGCAUAAGUAAUGGAAAAUUCAGGCAUCGCCGACGCGCCUCACUGGUUUUUAAUGCUGUGUGUGUUUCUCCUGAGCUGACUCGUGUGACAGAGGAGCUGCUGCUAUCCCUGGGCGUCAUAAAAAUCGCUGGUUUUCUCGGCGCGCGCGCACACACACACACACGCCCAUGCACGCUCACACACGUCACCGCGGGGAGGCGGCGAGCCACAGAAGAACAAGCGGAGUGCUUCGAGAUAAGACGUAGAGUCAUGCCUCUGCAGCGUGACCGUUACGUCACGCCUCCCCAUGCUGCACGGACACACUCGCCUAAUAUAGUCAGAGCAGCACACACACACACACACCCACGCACACACACGCACACACAGAUCUGAGUGUAGGUUAUUGUCUAGCUGCCAAAUUUCUAUCCGCCGUCCUUGGUUGGCUGCAAGCAUGUGUUUCCUCAAAGGAGUGUGUGUGCGCACGCGCGCGCGUGUGUGUAACUUCAGUGAAUGAAAUGACGUCGCUGUUACGUCUGUUCUUGCCCAUCAUGGGUUGAGAGUUUCCGUUUGGCCCGGACAGGUGCACGCAUGCCAAAGCCUCCUGUUUGUGUCUCGGUGUUGUCAUGCGAUUAUUAUCUUUUCACUCCAACCUUUGUGACUCGUCAGAGUAAGCAACCAAGUCACACGUGUAACCGGAGCCUAAAAGGGCCACGCUUAUCCGCUGCUUUUCUAACAAACGGCCUACUUAAAGCAUCAUGUUUUAACUGAACAGGAUCGUUGGUUGUCGAUAGACAUGAAAGGUUUCUAAAUCGUCCGAUGGAUUGAGACACAAACACGCAGAGAACGUGUUCUAGUUUUUUUUUUCCUCUGGCAUUUUAAAGUGGCAGUGUUACAAGUGAAGCUUCACAUCAUGUUAUGAUGUUAUUCACUCAUCAGAAACAUACGUGGAGUGCUGCUUUGAUUCCUUCAUGCACGUUUGAGAAAUCUUUUUAAUCUCCCAUGGCAACCAUUCAGUUGUGCAGAACCCCAGGUUUUACCUAGCUCCGCCUCCGAGGACAAAGCUCCGCCUAGAAACUGCAGUUUCCAAACUUCCAUGUUCCUUCCCGGCCUCGCCACUCCACAACCAAGCUCCUUCAGACUAGCUGGCAGCAAUUAGCAAACACCUGGUGGACCUGUGCAUCUGCUGAGCUUGUUAUAGGAGCUACUUCUCAGUACAACGCUGUGAAAAUAUUAUUAAAGGGUUAAUAGAGGAGCCAUGUGGAGAUGAUUUCUUGAAGGCAGAGAGUUUAAGAGACAGAGGCCCAAUUUCUAAGUUGAUUUUUUUUAAGUCAUAUUUGAUAUUUGGAGCAUUUUACAUAAUUAAUUGAUUGUUCUGUAAAGUGAUUCUAUGUGACUACACCUUUAAAAAUAUAUGCAAUCUUCUCUGAAAUUUUACAUCUAACAGCACAUCUCUGGAAAUAUAAAGCAAUGUUUUGUUUUGGUUUUUUAAAGCCAAUCAGUCUCACUCAUGAGAGAAAUCCAUCAUGCCUUCAUAUGACUUCUUUCCUGACGCUUCACUGCGUUACCUAACAAUAGCGUGGAAACUUACUGCGGAAUGUCAGUGCUUGUGUUUCUGUAUCCCCCUCACAGCGACUCCCACAAUCUCUCCAACAAUGUUUACUUGGAUAGAUCUAGUGAAACCGCUGCAGCUAAGACAAUAGGUGGUUGAGAAAGGUUGAAAACACACACACACACACACCAGAGGACACUUGCUGUCUUCAAAUCUUCUCAGUUUCACACCCAGCCUCACGAUUGAUUGGCAGAUGGUGAUUCUUACAUUUCAAGGAAUCCAGCCUCUGCUCUCGGUCUUCUACGCUUUCCUGCCGUUUUAAUUCCUUGACAUCAUUUGUGUGUGUGAGGGUGUGUGUGUGUGUGUGUGUGUGUGUCACCGGUGUCUCUAUGGUCAGCUAAUAAACUGGCCCCUCAAGCCGACCUGGUGGGAUUCCCAGCCGGCCCGGCUGCCUGAGUUCACACCUUUUUGUUCACAGGAAUCUCAGGAAUCCCCAGCUUCCUUUCCACCGCAGUCUCCAUUGUGUGUGUGUGUGUGUGUGGGUGUGUGUGUGUGUGUGACAACAUGAAGGAAAGGCCCCCGCCUGUGUCGUGCGUGUGUGUUGAAACACAUCUCCGCCCUUGUAUCCACCCAGAGAAUGCAAGCACGCAGUGUUCAAGCCUUGUGCCCACAAUAGACUGAGUCACAGACUAAAACUGGUCCACUCCUUACUUUCUGAGCAAAUUCACUUUUCAGGGACCAACGUAGCGAUGCUCAUCGAUCCGUAUCAAAGCGCGGUCGAUGGGUCAUACAAGCAUUGUGCUCCAGAUUUUUGAAAAUGCCACAUGCAAAGGAAACGCAGUGUUGCAUUUUCUUCAAACUACUGUAUGGUGUAAAUGCUGAAGUAUCUGAAAAAUGAGGAAAAUUUGAAGUUAGACGUUGACCUCUGGUCAUAUGUAAGAUUAUUUUAAUAUUAUAGGUUAAAAUGAAUGACUCACUUUUUUAAAAUAAUUUUUUAGCAGUGACAUCAUAGAUAUUGAGUGAUGUUCCCUAUGAUGUCACUCAUCGUCUCCAACCUCUAAAGGUCAUGUUAACAAAUAAUCCAAAUUAACAUUUACAAAAUAAAUAUUUGUAGCUAGUUCAUACAAAAAUGUAGUUUGGUACGUUACUAUGUUGAUUUUAUAAAAUUUGUAAUGGUGUAAUUGCUUAUUUCUGCAUAAAUACUAUCAGCUGAAAAUGACUAAUUUGAAUUUGACUAUAUUUUAUCACUAAUGUCAACAAUAUUGAUUUAAUAUCACAUCAUUAAAUCAAUAGCGUUCACUUAAAGUUGAAGUAAUUAAAUCUAUUCAGUUACAUUCAUUAUCACUUUAUUGACAUGAUGUUUUUUAAGUGGGUAAUUGUCAUUUUUCUGAAUGUAUGACAGUGCAAAAGUAUCACCCUAUCCAGAGUUUGUAAAUAUUUCUAAUUAAACGCUGAAGAGAAAUAGUUAGAGACAAUUAAAACACAACCCGUGACUAAAAAGGUCUGAUUAUAGGAUGCACUUCUAUAUUGGAUUUUGUACAUCUGACCCCAGAGGAAUGCCUCACCCAUCAGGAAUCUCACCACACGACGCUGCUGCAUAGUCAUACUUCACUUUAACAAGAAACAUUGUGGUGUUUCAAUAUCCCAGGAUCUCGUUACACCCUUAUUAAAUACCUAAAACUGCAGUUGAAUAGACAUAAAAAGGGCAAAAAUGCAAUUAAACUUUACGGCUUCUUUGAGGGCUAAUGGCCUCCACGUAUGCGGCGCCCGUUCAGCCUCUGCGCCGCGCGCCGCCCUGUCGGCUAAAUGUUUUUCACUCAAAUGACCACCGAGUUGUGAUGCUCUCAGCUGCUGCCGUUUUCUCUCCCUCCAGUUGCUGCUGCGCCUGCAGUGUGCAUAAAAGGGUUGAACGAAGCGCUAAUCACGAAUGGCUAAGCUAACCGCUCGCUAAAAGUAACCGCUCAUUUAGGCUAACCCAAGAACUUUUCCCGAGAACAGGCGUUUGCUUUUUUUAAACAUUUCUUAACGAUCGCAUCAAAACAUGGCAGCGAUGUAAUGUAACGUUCAGAGGUCCUCAACUCCUAUUUGCAGCUUUUUUGGAAUAGUUUUCAUGCUAGCUGUUAAAAGCUUGCCGGUGUAGAAAGCGCCGUGGUUAGAAAGGAAAGGCUGAUCCAGUCACUGCAGAGAUAAAACGUGAUUGUUUCAGUUCAGAGGAAUUCAGCAGAAGAAAUCUUGAAUUCAUGUGUCGCAGAUUAGCCGCCACAACAAGUUUUAAAUGGUCUGUGGAUAUCUUAAAACUUUUUAUUUUUUUAGAAAUGUAACUGGAGUUCAACCAGUUUCUGCCAGCCGAGUUAUAAUUUCAGCGCUGAAGUGUUGCUGUCCGUCAGCAUGUCUGGAGUCAGUUAGGCUCUGAUUCAUCAAGAAUGCUUAGUGCUUCACUUUAUAACCAUUCAUUUUCUGUGAAUCAUUCAGACCAGCUCACUCUCUCUCCAGACAGAACGAAUCCACAUCCAUCUGCCGAUACGCCGCUGAGGGCCACAGUCUACGGUCACUGCAGUCUUGAAAAGUUCAAAUUGGAUUUUAGGUCUUUGUCAAGGUCUGGAUACAGCAGGAGAAAAACAAAUGCGGACAGAGAAUUUCCAGACUGCACAUCUUUUUUCCCCCCCAAAAUCUUAAAGAUAAAUGUUGGAGUUUGUGAAAUAUGAAUUCCUUGAUUUAUUCAUAGAUGAUGUUGCUUUUCUUUGAUGAACUUUUAAUCCGACUCGUUAAUCGUUUCGGGUUUGGAGUCACUGAUUGAAAAAUCAGAAAAGGGAAUCGCCUGUCUCUUAAGUCAGGAUGUUCAACUUGACCUGCUAGUUCUGGUUAAGAUGUGAAAAAGGUCUGCCAAGUGUUGACACUGUGUGCUUUUAAUAUCUGUAAGGAAAAUGAAGACAUCAAAGCUUACAAACUGUCUUUCAUGUAGAACAAUCCAACCCAUAUUUGACUUAAAUUUUAAAACAGAUUAAUUACAUUUCCUCUUUCAUAUGUCAAAAUCAACGUUUGUUUAGUGGUUUGGCAAAUAUACAGAUAAAAAACUUUGUUAAAGGAUUUGUACUCAAAUAUUCAGAAUGUUAGACUGUAAGUAAUUCUAAAGUUUGAAAUUGAAUUUGUUUUAUGCACUGGACUUAUUUUAUCAUCAUCAUUGAUGUGGAAAAAAAAACAGCAACAACAAACCAUUGUAAAGAUCAGCUCACAUAGUCAUAGUCAGACAUAUGUCAUCUGCAUAAAGUUUUAUCCCAAUAUUUAUUUUUGUACACUGAAUAAUAAAAUUGUGAACUUCUCAGCUUGGCUUAUUACCUCAUUCUGGGUUAAUAAGAUCACUGAGUCCUGGAAAUGUCUCCUAACAUUUCCCCUGUGGACAUUUAUUCCCAUUUAGCUCCUCAGAUGAGACCAGAUGAGUCUAUCUUGAUUGAAGACUUAAGAAAGCAUUUGGUCGCAUUAUUUUUAGACAACCUUUGACCCUAAUGAUUGCCCUCAGGAGUGACAAUGCAGAAUAGCAACAUGUGCAUAUAGGUCAAAUAUUGCUCAAUUCCACUUGCUACAUGACUCACAGAAGUUAUUUAAAUAGAUCCGAAAGGACCCUGACAAAGGCCGGAAUCUCUCUCCACUAAAACACUGGUGUGUAACUUUGUGUUUGCACACCACAAUGUGUGCAAUGGGAGCAUAACAGGGGCACAUAACAGCGUGUCCUUUGGUGAGUCACAUGGCCUCUUGUGAGUAACAAAUCAGUUAUGCGAUUCCUUAAGUUCAAGCCUGCCAUUGGACGCUGCUGCCCUGCCCUAGUUUUGGAUCCCGUGCCAGCAGGGAGGAGGGUGUAAAACGGCGAGGCAGGGUGGGACCGCCGCCCGCGGGUGUGGCUGGCGGACAUGGCGUGGGGGAAUAGAAUUGGGGCGAAAAGGCAGGAUGUAGGUAAGAACCUGGAUUGCGGUCGUGGCGAGCUAACUUACGGGGGGGUAAGUUAAGGUCGCCGCAAAGAGUCAAGAGGAACCGCUUGAAUUCUUAGGUACUUUCUUUGACAAACCUGUGGUUAUAAUGAGGUUUCUCACUUGCUCAUGAGGCAGUCCAUUCUUGACAACCUGAGUACUUUCUCUUUGUGGUCUAUGUAAUCGACGAAGGAGCCCAGACGUGAUGCACGUAAGAGUGUUUGUUUAUGUUGGUGAGUCUUGAAGUCAUAUAGACCCUUCUGCCUCCUUCUUCUAAAGAUUGGUCAACUCUUACUAAAGAUGCCCCAGACUUCUAGCAGGGGGGAGUUUCCUUUUUUUUAACACACAAGGGAUGCACACCCAUGCACAUUUACUCCACCUCCCUCUCCACCCCUCCUUCCUUCCUCUUACUGCCGUUUUUUCUGAAUGGUCCUGUCCUCUUCCUAACCUCAACCGAAUGCUCUGUAAGGAGAGACUGCCCUCCGUGUUAGGCUCAGCCCCCCAACAGUGCAGCUAUAAGAGAGAGUGCUGUCGGACUUGUGUGUGUGAGAGCUGGACGGUGUCAGUCAGUCAGACAGUACUUUUCAUUUGGUUGCAGAGGUGGGAGGGUUUAUGGUAGGGAGGGAGGGUGAGAGGAAGAGAAAGGGAGAGCACUGUGAAACAUGUGAUAGUGCAACUCUGGCCGGGGCUUGUAGGGAGUUUAACGGCUGUGGUGUCUCCAGAGCUCUGGGAAAGCACCUUUAGCCCAGAGGGAGCCUCUCAAACUGUGAGAAAAAUUGUGUGCGCAAGACAGAGAGAGGGGAGGGGGGGAUAGAAAGUGAGAGCCGGUUAUGCAGCGCACUGCCGCUGUCACUUUAAGUCUGUUACUGAUUACACUCAGAAGAAUGCAAGCGGGAGGAGGAAAUGACAGGAAAAAAGAGUGUGGAUGAAAUCUUUUAGGGAGUUACGAGUGAAGUUUCGCGCAACUUGCCGUCACAGUUACAGACAGUGACGUGGGUGAGAAGUUGUUACCCAAUAGUGGGUCUCUAUCUCGCUCGCUCUCCUUCGUCUGUGUGUGUGUGUGUGUGUGCUGGAGGCAAGCAGAGUUAAAGACGCAAGGAUCCCUUCACGAAGAGCGAAGAACACCCAGAGACACCGAGAUUGGAGGGAGGAUGAGGAGCUGGGGGGAGAUUGAGGGGGGUUCCCUCAUUCCAAAGUCAGCACCAGGAGGAAACUCCCACCCAGACGGGAGGCCACUUCUGCAACAACUUUUCUGAAAAUAUAACCGAACAUCCAUGUGACCACAGCAGUUUCCAAGAAAGAUGGCGUCCGCAGAAGUGUGCUGUCUCCCGUCUGUCGCCUCGCUGCUCUCUGGUGACUGUCAGCUGCUCAGUAGGCAGUGUAGAUCCUGUGUAGCAAUCAGCAGCUACAUCUGGCUACUGGGUCUCUGACGGCUCCGCCCGCUUCCCGGUCCUUCCGUCGGCCCGUGGCACGUUCCCGCUCCAUCACUGGUCGGGGGGCCCGUCCAGUGACAGGAUGUUCUCUGUGUCACAACUCCACCAGGGCCCGUUAUCACAUUUGUUCUUCUUCCUGUUUUGUCAAUCUCAUUUGGCAUCUCUGAGUUUCUGACUUCUGAUUGAAUUCCGUUUACUUUGAUUAAGCUACAAAUGGAUACAUUUCAUUAAAAUUGUGUUGAAGAAUGCCUAAAAAGCCACACUAGGGAGAUAUUUGCUUUGUCCUGAACCUGGCAUACAAUGUAGAUUCCUGUGUGGUUCAAUUCUACAGCUACAUUGUCUGCUGGGUUUCUGGCUAGCAAUAUAAGCUUCUGUGACAUGAAGGUCAUCUUUACUCCAUAAGGUAAGAAUUGAUCUACUGUGCUGCCAAAAAGUAUUUGCCCCCUUUAAGAUUUCUUCUGUUUUUGUUGUUUUGUGACAUUUAAAUGUUUCAGAUUGUCCAACAAAUGUUAAAGUGGCAGUGUUGUGUUUUUUCCAGACACAUAAUGGCAUAUCAUA